rnacentral:rRNA from 1 species
UACGUAGGGUGCGAGCGUUGUCCGGAAUUAUUGGGCGUAAAGAGCUCGUAGGCGGUGUGUCACGUCGGCCGUGAAAACCUGCAGCUUAACUGUGGGCGUGCGGUCGAUACGGGCAUCACUGGAGUUCGGCAGGGGAGACUGGAAUUCCUGGUGUAGCGGUGAAAUGCGUAGAUAUCAAGAGGAACACCUGCGGCGAAGGCGGGUUGCUGGGCUGACACUGACGCUGAGGCGCGAAAGCUAGGGGAGCGAACGGG